rnacentral:rRNA from 1 species
AGAGUUUGAUCAUGGCUCAGGAUGAACGCUAGCGAUAGGCUUAACACAUGCAAGUCGAGGGGCAUCACGAGGUAGCAAUACUUUGGUGGCGACCGGCGUACGGGUGCGUAACACGUAUGCAACCUUCCUGUAAGUGUGGGAUAGCCUCCUGAAAGGGAGAUUAAUACCUCAUGAUAUGUAUUUGCUGCAUGGCAUUUACAUUAAACAUUUAUGGCUUACAGAUGGGCAUGCGUUCCAUUAGGCAGUUGGUGUGGUAACGGCUCACCAAACCUACGAUGGAUAGGGGUUCUGAGAGGAAGGUCCCCCACACUGGAACUGAGACACGGUCCAGACUCCUACGGGAGGCAGCAGUGAGGAAUAUUGGUCAAUGGGCGCGAGCCUGAACCAGCCACGUCGCGUGAAGGAUGACGGCCUUAUGGGUUGUAAACUUCUUUUACAGGGGAAUAAAGUGAGUCACGUGUGAUUUUUUGCAUGUACCCUGUGAAUAAGCAUCGGCUAACUCCGUGCCAGCAGCCGCGGUAAUACGGAGGAUGCGAGCGUUAUCCGGAUUUAUUGGGUUUAAAGGGUGCGUAGGCGGGAUAUUAAGUCAGCGGUGAAAGUUUUCGGCUCAACCUUAAAAUUGCCGUUGAAACUGUUAUUCUUGAGUGCAGUAGAGGUAGGCGGAAUUCGUUGUGUAGCGGUGAAAUGCGUAGAUAUAACGAGGAACUCCGAUUGCGUAGGCAGCUUACUAUAUUGCUACUGACGCUGAGGCACGAAAGUGUGGGUAUCAAACAGGAUUAGAUACCCUGGUAGUCCACACAGUAAACGAUGAAUACUAGCUGUUUGCGAUAUAUUGUAAGCGGCCGAGCGAAAGCAUUAAGUAUUCCACCUGGGGAGUACGUCGGCAACGAUGAAACUUAAAUGAAUUGACGG